UACAGAGGUCCCAAGCGUUGUUCGGAUUCAUUAGGCGUAAAGGGCGCGUAGGCGGGUCAGCAAGUCCGGGGUGAAAGCUUUCGGCUCAACCGGAAAAGGGCCGUGGAUACUGCUGGUCUGGAGGAAGGUAGGGGCGUGUGGAACUUCCGGUGGAGCGGUGAAAUGCGUAGAUAUCGGAAGGAACGCCGGUGGCGAAAGCGACACGCUGGACCUUUUCUGACGCUGAGGCGCGAAAGCCAGGGGAGCAAACGGG
rnacentral:rRNA from 1 species